rnacentral:rRNA from 1 species
CCCUUUGAUACUCUGGGCGGUACGCGCGCUACACUGGUUUAUAUAACGUGUAAUUUGGACGAUAGUCUGUAUAAAUCACUAAUAUAAAACCGUGAAUGGGAUAGUUUAUUGCAACUUACAAACUUUAACUAGGAAUCCCUUGUAGAAGUAGUGAAUUAUACUGCUUCGAAUACGUCCCUGCCGAUUGUACACACCGCCCGUCGUUUCUUCCGGCUGGUACUCAUUGUGAAUUGCGAGGAGAUUCUGUCAAAUCGUUGUAAAUGCUGGGUAUUGGAGGAAGAAAAAGUCGUAACA